rnacentral:rRNA from 1 species
GCAGUCGAAUGCUUCCUUGUGAAGCAUGGCAAACGGGUGAGUAACGCGUUGGUUACCAACCCCUAACUCGAGGAUAACCAUCUGAAAAGGUGAAUAAUACUCGAUAGACAUGGGGGGAUGAAUAUCAUUCCCAUGUAAAGAUUUAUCGGUUAGGGAUGGGCCUGCGUCCUAUCAGCUAGUUGGUGAGGUAAUGGCUCACCAAGGCGAUGACGGGUAGCUAGAUCGAGAGGUCGACUAGCCACACUGGGACUGAGACACUGCCCAGACUCCUACGGGAGGCUGCAGUCGAGAAUCUUCCUCAAUGGGCGAAAGCCUGAAGGAGCGACGCCGCGUGUAGGAUGAAGCCUUUCGGGGUGUAAACUACUUUUCUUGUCGAUCAAUUUUGAUAGUAGACUUGGAAUAAGAGGCUGCUAAUUCCGUGCCAGCAGCAGCGGUUACACGGAAGCCUCAAGCGUUGUCCGGAAUGAUUGGGCGUAAAGCGUCUGUGGGUGGUUUGAAUUGUCGGUUAUUAAAUCUUAAGGCUCAACCUUAAGGCUGUAACCGAAACGUUUAAACUUGAGUGCUCGAGGGGUACAUGGAACGUAUAGUGUAGCAGUGACAAGCAUUGAUAUUAUACGGAACACCAAAGGCGAAGGCAUUGUACUGGCGAGCCACUGACACUGAGAGACGAAAGCGUGGGUAGCGAAUGGGAUUAGAUACCCCAGUAGUCCACGCCGUAACGAUGAGUGCUAGGUAUCGGGGGAAUCGACCCCCUCGGUAUCGAAGCUA